GAGUCAACCAAUUGGUCUGCUUAUCUGAAUCUGUUUCUACAGAAAUGUAGAGAUCUGGCAAUAGUGAUGCCAUAUUAUGAACCUUAAGGACAGCUGAGGUCAUUAAGGUCCCUGAAGAUGGCUACAAUA
rnacentral:snoRNA from 1 species